rnacentral:sRNA from 1 species
GAUUCGCAUGAGGGAUAGCAGCGGCAUCCUUUUGCGGAGCGCUAGCGGAACAAAAGAUACAGCGGAUAGCCCGACCCGCA